GACAGAGGUGCCGAGCGUUAGGCGGAAUCACUGGGCUUAAAGCGUGUGUAGGCGGAUCUGUAAGUACCUUGUGAAAUCCCACGGCUCAACCGUGGAACUGCUUGGUAUACUGCGGGUCUUGAGCCACCUAGGGGCAAGUGGAACAAACGGUGGAGCGGUGAAAUGCGUAGAUAUCGUUUGGAACGCCGAUGGUGAAAACAGGUUGCUGGGGCUGUGCUGACGCUGAGACACGAAAGCCAGGGGAGCGAACGGG
rnacentral:rRNA from 1 species